rnacentral:rRNA from 1 species
GAUGAACGCUGGCGGCGUGCCUAAUACAUGCAAGUCGAGCGAACAGACGAGGAGCUUGCUCCUCUGACGUUAGCGGCGGACGGGUGAGUAACACGUGGAUAACCUACCUAUAAGACUGGGAUAACUUCGGGAAACCGGAGCUAAUACCGGAUAAUAUAUUGAACCGCAUGGUUCAAUAGUGAAAGACGGUUUUGCUGUCACUUAUAGAUGGAUCCGCGCCGCAUUAGCUAGUUGGUAAGUUAACGGCUUACCAAGGCAACGAUGCGUAGCCGACCUGAGAGGGUGAUCGGCCACACUGGAACUGAGACACGGUCCAGACUCCUACGGGAGGAAGCAGUAGGGAAUCUUCCGCAAUGGGCGAAAGCCUGACGGAGCAACGCCGCGUGAGUGAUGAAGGUCUUCGGAUCGUAAAACUCUGUUAUUAGGGAAGACCAAAUGUGUAAGUAACUAUGCACGUCUUGACGGUACCUAAUCAGAAAGCCACGGCUAACUACGUG